rnacentral:rRNA from 1 species
AUUGAACGCUGGCGGCAGGCCUAACACAUGCAAGUCGAGCGGAGCGGCGGACGGGUGAGUAAUGACUAGGAAUCUACCUGGCAGUGGGGGCUAACGUCCGGAAACGGGCGCUAAUACAGCAUACUAUCAGAUGAGCCUUGGUCGGAUUAGCUCGUUGGUGGGGUAAGGUCCUACCAAGGCGACGAUCCGUAACAGGUCUGAGAGGAUGAUCAGUCACACUGGAACUGAGACACGGUCCAGACUCCUACGGGAGGCAGCAGUGGGGAAUAUUGGACAAUGGGCGAAAGCCUGAUGCAGCCAUGCCGCGUGAGUGAAGAAGGUCUUCGGAUUGUAAAGCACUUUAAGUUGGGAGGCGUUACCAACAGAAUAAGCACCGGCUAACUUCGUGCCAGCAGCCGCGGUAAUUC